ACAAGUGUAUUGAAAAUAUUUAUUUGAAAUACGGUACCUGGAGUGAUUAAUUGAAGCAAAGUAUAAUAAUUUAAGUAAAUGAUUAGAAAUCACUUUAUGGAAAUAAUAUUCAAGCGUAUACAAAAAAAUACAUAGGAUAAACUACACAAUGACUGGCACUUUAAGUUAAAACUCUAUUUAAAAAGAUUAAAAGGACAAAAAAUUAUAUCAAAUAUUUAUCGUUGGUACAUUUAACAUGGUGAUUAAAAUCCUUAACAUUUUUAACAAGAUUAUCAACUGAAAACCAAGCUCUUGAACUUAUAAGUAUGUAAUAUUUAACAUGCAAAAAUUUGCUCACACACACACGCUCGAAUGAAUUACGAUAGGGGAUAAAUUACCUCAGAUGCAUAACAAUUUUAUUAAAACUUAAUGUUGCUACCAACAACGAAAUUUAUUGAUGAAACAAUUAUCGCAAUAAAGUAUGUACCUACGCCAAAACACAGCUUCAAAAUAUAUGUAUAAAAUACAAUAUUCGAAUGUGAUUAUAACUCGCAACGAAU